rnacentral:lncRNA from 1 species
ACAGUCACAGAUCACUGCAGGCUUGACUGCCCAGGCCCAGACGAUUCUCCCACCUUAGCCUCCUGAAUAGCUGGAACUACAGUUCUGGAGCCGUCCGUGGGAGGAAGAGUGGAGGAAGAGGAGGCGGAAGAAGGAAGGAGGAAGGGCCGUACCAAGUCACCGGUGAACGUUCCCAGCACGCACAGGACUCCUCCCAGAAACAGACAGGUGGAAGCUGACCACUAAAAGCUGGCUAGAGAGAGCCAGGGCACUCAGGACUUGGGGGAGAGUUGAAGUAUUAUGUUGGCAAAAGACUCUAUGGGUAUCCUCACUUGACUAGAAGAAGGAUUACUUUUUCCUUGGACCCAGGAAUCUGCUGAGGUGUUCACAGCUGCCUGCCUGCCUGCCGUGUCAGAUAGUAGAAGUGGUGUGAUGAUGACCAAGUUGGAUGGUGAAUGGAAGAUUCUCGACACCAGAUCUAUGAUAACUUUCUGUGUUUCAAGUGUCACUGUUUAAGCUACUCUAAAUUAAAGAAGAGCAAAUUAAAAAGGCAAAUUAAAGAAGAA